GCGUCGGUAGUGCAAUGGUUCGAGCACGCGUCCCCGGAUAGGGUGACAUGGAGGUUCGAGUCCCAGCUGACGAA